UUGGAGGGCAAGUCUGGUGCCAGCAGCCGCGGUAAUUCCAGCUCCAAUAGCGUAUAUUAAAGUUGUUGCAGUUAAAAAGCUCGUAGUUGAAUUUCGGGGUCAGCAGGUUGGUCGUGCCAAUGGUAUGCACUGGCCUUGCUGAUUCCUCCCUCUUGAUGAGCCGUAAUGCCAUUAAUUUGGUGUUGCGGGGAAUCAGGACUGUUACUUUGAAAAAAUUAGAGUGUUUAAAGCAGGCAAGCGCUUGAAUACAUUAGCAUGGAAUAAUGAAAUAGGACGUUUGAUCCUAUUUUGUUGGUUUCUAGGAUUGACGUAAUGAUUAAUAGGGAUAGUUGGGGGCAUUAGUAUUCAAUUGUCAGAGGUGAAAUUCUUGGAUUUAUUGAAGACUAACUACUGCGAAAGCAUUUGCCAAGGAUGUUUUCAUUAAUCAAGAACGAAAGUUAGGGGAUCGAAGACGAUCAGAUACCGUCGUAGUCUUAACCAUAAACUAUGCCGACUAGGGAUCGGAUGAUGUUAAUUUUUUAAUGACUCAUUCGGCGCCUUACGGGAAAC
rnacentral:rRNA from 1 species